GACUGUUUACCAAAAACAUAGCUCUUGAAACAAUCAAAAGUGUAACCUGCCCAAUGGUUUGCAAAUAAUCUAGAUAAACCUACAAAAAACAGACUUAAAGGACGCGGUAUCUUGACUGUGAUAAUGUAGCAUAAUCAUUCGCCAUUUAAUUGAUGGAUAGUAUGAAUGGUCAAACGAGUAUAGCACUGUCUUAAAUAGAAAAAUUAUGAAAUUGGAAUAUUAGUAAAGAUACUACUUAAAACUGUAAGACGAGAAGACCCUAUAGAGCUUAACUAUAUCUCUUUCAUCAUUUUAAACUAGUUUAUUUAAAGAAAGAGUUAGGUAGUUUAGUUGGGGCGACUGCUUUUUAAAGAAAACAAAAGCAAACAAAAAUCAAUCAAUGAAUUUACUGUAUAAUAAACAAAUUUAACAGUUAUAAAAAUAGGUGAUAGUGACCCGUUACUUAUCAAUAAAAACAGUAACGAUUAAUGAAUAAAAGCUACCUUAGGGAUAACAGGAUAAUCUUGUCUUAGAGAUCCUAUCGAAGACAAGGUUUGUCACCUCUAUGUUGAAUUAAGACAUCCUAGAAAUGCAGAAGUUUCUAAGGGUAGGUCUGUUCGACCUAUAAAGUCUUACAUGAUUUGAGUUCAUUCCG
rnacentral:rRNA from 1 species